rnacentral:rRNA from 1 species
GACGAACGCUGGCGGCGUGCUUAACACAUGCAAGUCGAACGGAAAGGCCCUGCUUUUGUGGGGUGCUCGAGUGGCGAAAGGGUGAGUAACACGUGAGUAACCUGCCCUUGACUUUGGGAUAACUUCAGGAAACUGGGGCUAAUACCGGAUAGGAGCUCCUGCUGCAUGGGGGGGGUUGGAAAGUUUCGGCGGUUGGGGAUGGACUCGCGGCGUAGCAGCUUGUUGGUGGGGUAGUGGCUUACCAAGGCUUUGACGGGUAGCCGGCCUGAGAGGGUGACCAGCCACAUUGGGACUGAGAUACGGCCCAGACUCCUACGGGAGGCAGCAGUGGGGAAUAUUGCACAAUGGGCGGAAGCCUGAUGCAGCAACGCCGCGUGCGGGAUGACGGCCUUCGGGUUGUAAACCGCUUUCGCCUGUGACGAAGCGUGAGUGACGGUAAUGGGUAAAGAAGCACCGGCUAACUACGUG